rnacentral:rRNA from 1 species
UACGAAGGGGGGCUAGCGUUGCUCGGAAUCACUGGGCGUAAAGCGCACGUAGGCGGCUUGUUAAGUCAGGGGUGAAAUCCUGGAGCUCAACUCCAGAACUGCCUUUGAUACUGGUGAGCUUGAGUCCGGAAGAGGUGAGUGGAACUGCGAGUGUAGAGGUGAAAUUCGUAGAUAUUCGCAAGAACACCAGUGGCGAAGGCGGCUCACUGGUCCGGUACUGACGCUGAGGUGCGAAAGCGUGGGGAGCAAACAGG